rnacentral:rRNA from 1 species
GAAACAGUGGCUAAGACUGGAUAGGAAGAUAAAAGGCAUCUUGUAUCUUUUAAAAGACCUAGUUAAUAGGUAUACUUUAGGAGGGGCUUGCGCCAUAUUAGUUAGUUGGUAGGGUAAUGGCCUACCAAGACGAUGAUGUGUAGCUGGACUGAGAGGUUGAACAGCCACAUUGGGACUGAGACACGGCCCAAACUCCUACGGGAGGCAGCAGUAGGGAAUUUUCGGCAAUGGAGGAAACUCUGACCGAGCAACGCCGCGUGAAUGACGAAGUACUUCGGUAUGUAAAGUUCUUUUAUCGAGGAAGAAAAGCAAAUGGCGAACCAUUUGUUUGCCGGUACUUGAUGAAUAAGCCCCGGCUAAUUAUGUGCCAGCAGCCGCGGUAAGACAUAAGGGGCAAGUGUUAUCCGGAAUUAUUGGGCGUAAAGGGUGCGUAGGCGGUCUAGUAAGUCAGUGGUGUAAUGGCAACGCUUAACGUUGUCCGGCUAUUGAAACUGCUAAACUUGAGUUAGAUAGAGGCGAGUGGAAUUCCAUGUGUAGCGGUAAAAUGCGUAAAUAUAUGGAGGAACACCAGAGGCGUAGGCGGCUCGCUGGGUCUUAACUGACGCUGAGGCACGAAAGCGUGGGGAGCAAACAGGAUUAGAUACCCUGGUAGUCCACGCCGUAAACGAUGAGUACUAAGUGUCGGGUUAAACCGGUACUGAAGUUAACACAUUAAGUACUCCGCUUGAGUAGUACGUACGCAAGUAUGAAACUUAAAGGAAUUGACGGGACUCCGCACAAGCGGUGGAUCAUGUUGUUUAAUUCGAAGAUACCCGAAAAACCUUACCAGGUCUUGACAUGUUUUUGCAAAAUGAUAGUAAUAUCGUGAAGGUUACCAGAAACACAGGUGGUGCAUGGUUGUCGUCAGCUCGUGUCGUGAGAUGUUAGGUUAAGUCCUAAAACGAGCGAAACCCUUAUCGUUAGUUGCCAGCACGUUAUGGUGGGGACUUUAACGAGACUGCCAAUGAUAAAUUGGAGGAAGGUGAGGAUCACGUCAAAUCAGCAUGCCCCUUAUGACCUGGGCUACAAACGUGAUACAAUGGCUGUUACAAAGGGUAGCUGAAACGCAAGUUCUUGGCCAAUCCCCAAAAACAGUCCCAGUCCGGAUUGAAGUCUGCAACUCGACUUCAUGAAGUUGGAAUCGCUAGUAAUCGCGAAUCAGCAUGUCGCGGUGAAUACGUUCUCGGGGUUUGUACACACCGCCCGUCA